rnacentral:rRNA from 1 species
UACGAGGGGGGCAAGCGUUGUUCGGAAUUAUUGGGCGUAAAGGGUGCGUAGGCGGUUUGACAAAUCUUGUGUGAAAUCUAUGGGCUCAACCCAUAGUCUGCACGGGAAACUGUCGGGCUUGAGUAUUGGAGAGGUGAGUGGAAUUUCCGGUGUAGCGGUGAAAUGCGUAGAUAUCGGAAGGAACACCUGUGGCGAAAGCGGCUCACUGGACAAUAACUGACGCUGAUGCACGAAAGCUAGGGGAGCAAACAGG